rnacentral:rRNA from 1 species
CCUACGGGGGGCUGCAGUGGGGAAUAUUGGACAAUGGGCGCAAGCCUGAUCCAGCAAUGCCGCGUGUGUGAAGAAGGCCUGCGGGUUGUAAAGCACUUUAAGCAGGAAAGAAGGCUUCAGGGUUAAUACCCUUGGGGAUUGACGUUACCUGCAGAAUAAGCACCGGCUAACUCCGUGCCAGCAGCCGCGGUAAUACGGACGGUGUGACCGUUAAUCGGAAUUACUUGGCGGGUUGGGUAAGUCCGCUGUUAACGCCCCGGGCUUAACCUGGGAACUGCAGUGGAUACUGGCAAGCUAGAGUAUGGUAGAGGAGAGUGGAAUUUCCGGUGUAGCAGUGAAAUGCGUAGAGAUCGGAAGGAACACCAGUGGCGAAGGCGGCUCUCUGGACCAAUACUGACGCUGAGGUGCGAAAGCGUGGGGAGCAAACAGGAUUAGAUACCCUUGUAGUC